rnacentral:rRNA from 1 species
AACGAACGCUGGCGGCAGGCCUAACACAUGCAAGUCGAGCGAGGACUUCGGUCCUAGCGGCGGACGGGUGAGUAACGCGUGGGAACGUGCCCUUUGCUUCGGAAUAGCCCUGGGAAACUGGGAGUAAUACCGGAUGAGCCCUUUGGGGAAAGAUUUAUCGGCGAAGGAUCGGCCCGCGUUGGAUUAGGUAGUUGGUGGGGGAAUGGCCUACCAAGCCGACGAUCCAUAGCUGGUUUGAGAGGAUGAUCAGCCACACUGGGACUGAGACACGGCCCAGACUCCUACGGGAGGCAGCAGUGGGGAAUCUUAGACAAUGGGGGAAACCCUGAUCUAGCCAUGCCGCGUGAGCGAUGAAGGCCUUAGGGUUGUAAAGCUCUUUCAGCUGGGAAGAUAAUGACGGUACCAGCAGAAGAAGCCCCGGCUAACUCCGUG